rnacentral:misc_RNA from 1 species
UUUUUUUGUUAUGUUUUGUUUACAUUCUUUAACUCAUGUUUAAAAAGAGCCGCAUCAAACUUUUCUUUCAUGUCCCGGUUAAGGGACACUACAAAAAAACCUUGAUGCCGAAAGGUGCACAGAGUUGGAGAGUGGAGGUCAGGCCUCUCGAGCUGGUUAAAAGCAAGAGAGCACCCUAAAAUUCACUAAUGAUCCUUCCGCAGGUUCACCUACGGAAA